rnacentral:rRNA from 1 species
ACUCCUACGGGAGGCAGCAGUGGGGAAUAUUGGACAAUGGGCGCAAGCCUGAUCCAGCCAUGCCGCGUGAGUGAUGAAGGCCCUAGGGUUGUAAAGCUCUUUCACCGGUGAAGAUAAUGACGGUAACCGGAGAAGAAGCCCCGGCUAACUUCGUGCCAGCAGCCGCGGUAAUACGAAGGGGGCUAGCGUUGUUCGGAUUUACUGGGCGUAAAGCGCACGUAGGCGGACUAUUAAGUCAGGGGUGAAAUCCCGGGGCUCAACCCCCGGAACUGCCUUUGAUACUGGUAGUCUUGAGUUCGAGAGAGGUGAGUGGAAUUCCGAGUGUAGAGGUGAAAUUCGUAGAUAUUCGGAGGAACACCAGUGGCGAAGGCGGCUCACUGGCUCGAUACUGACGCUGAGGUGCGAAAGCGUGGGGAGCAAACAGGAUUAGAAACCCUAGUAGUCCCAUG